ensembl:lncRNA
AUGCGCGUGUAUGCAGCUUGGCAUCAUGGAAAGUACCUUUCUGCUGAAACAGCAUUUUCAGUGGGAUUACAGGAAGAUAUCAUAGAGAAGGAAAAGAACCGAAGAGAAGGAGGCUCUGAAAGAAAAAUGGCUGAAACAACCAGCAGCAUGGAGGAGAGCUCAGCACAUUUUAGUCACUGCAACUUCCGUCACUACAAACCUUUAAGGAUUCAGAACAAUGUUCUUCAACGCUUGCUGAAUUGUCACAACUGUGCUGCAGCUACAGUAUCCACUGUGUACUACACUGAAAGAUACUGCCUGCACAUGCACCUGGAACAUGCUCAAAAGAUGCCAUGCAACUUGGAAGCCCAGAGGCUUUUAUGA